AUUGAACGAUGGCGGCAGGCCUAACACAUGCAAGUCGAACGAGUGGCGGACGGGUGAGUAAUGUCUGGGAAACUGCCCGAUGGAGGGGGAUAACUACUGGAAACGGUAGCUAAUACCGCAUACCAUCGGAUGUGCCCAGAUUGGAUUAGCUAGUAGGUGGGGUAACGGUUUACCUAGGCGACGAUCCCUAGCUGGUCUGAGAGGAUGACCGUCCACACUGGAACUUGGACACGGUCCAGACUCCUCCGUGAGGCAGCAGUGGGGAAUAUUGCACAAUGGGCGCAAGCCUGAUGCAGCCAUGCCGCGUGUAUGAAGAAGGCCUUCGGGUUGUAAAGUACUUUCAGCGAGGAGGCGUUACUCGCAGAAGAAGCACCGGCUAACUCCGUGCCAGCAGCCGCGGUAAUUC
rnacentral:rRNA from 1 species